UCUGGGGAGACAACAGAACGUUAAGAGCAGCCCUGAGGCGGACACGGGCUGAUCCCAACAGCAGUAAGAUCCUACAAUACAAGCCCUGCUUCAUUGGUCCUGGGGGUAGCAGCCUCCACUGCCUCCCGGAUGAUUUUAGCAGGCAAGCAGUGCUUGCGUAUGACAAGCAGUCGAGUUCAACGUGAGGCAAGACUAAAACUGAUGCACCCUGGGAACAAGCUAAAUUGUUCUCCGGGGCAGGCACACUGCAAUCUCAGGGAAGACAGCUUCGUGGAAGGGGAAGGCUAUCUGAGCUGUGUAAAGAGGGAAAGUCAAUUUCCCUCUCUGAUCCUUCCUCAUCUGUAACCCGGGGACCUUCAGAUCUAACUCUGGCUCCCACACUACCUGUUAGGUGCCCUGGAAGGCCACUGCAAAUUCGCAAAGAGUGCCUGGGGGAGGUUGUACAUUUUCAAAUGCAAUCCCAGGAUAUCCAUGAGACACCAGGUAAACUUGAAGCUUGAAGCAGUUCAGGCUUCCAACAUCAGAUUACCACAUCUCUUGUGAUGACGUGACCACUUUGCAAAGCUGUUUUUCAAAGUACCCUGAUAAAAAGCAAACACCAAGGAACUUCAUGUGAAACAGAAACUAGGUUAGUGGUCUCCAAUCUGAUCCCAAGAUUUGAGAGGCGGUGCCGUGCCCCAUAGGUGCUACAUUGUUAAGGCAUAAAUACUUAUUAAAGUGUUUUGAUCUAUUUAAAAAGAGAGCCUUGGGUAUUAUUUCUUUUGGCCAGGGGCUCUGUGAAAAAUUUCCUGAGAUACUAACGUGCUGUGAACCAAGGCAGUUUCGGAACCUCUAACCUAACUCAGUAGGCUUCAAUGAAGACCGAAUAAGAUGAUGUCUGGGAGAGUACUUUGAAAAGUUGAAGGCAGAAGUUGGCAAACUUUCUGUAAAGGGCCAGGCAACUACUCACUUCUGCUGAUGUAGCACACAUUGAAGGCGUCAAAUGGAUGGGCAUGUUUUCUAAAAUAACUUAUUUACAAAAACACUUGGUGGACUGGAUUUGGCCACCUAGGCCAUAAUUUGCUAACUUCUGGUCUAAAGUGUGUCCUAGAGUGCAUGAAAGAAGCUGGAGAAAAAUCACCAUGGAGUUUAUCCUGGUUUUGCCUCUCAUGGAAAGAAGAGAGACAACUGAAGCCUCAAUCCAGGUAAAGAAGCAUUCUUGCAAGCCCAUCCAUGUAAAGUGUAUGAAAAGUGGGCCUUUUCCCUGAAAUUAUCCAGAUCCUGAUUUCAUUUACAUUUUGUUUUAUGAUUUUGGGGAAAUUCCAUCAGUAACCUAACAGGUUUAUUUCCUAUCUUUAGGAAAUAAAUAUACAGAUAGUAAAUUGUGCAGUUCGUAUCUGCAGAGCUUUCAUUCUUGGUCAUCUUUUUAUAACAUCUUAUCAAAGAUAACUGCAACAAACAGGUCUGGGGACAAGAACAGGGAAGCACAAGACCAGUUUCAUUGCAGCUAUAAAAAUAACCCUUUGUUUCCCAUUGUACUUUACAAGCAGGCGGCACUCUGCGUGUCCUGGAAAGGUUGGGUCUGCUGACCUUGGAGGGUUUUUUAUGAUCAGUAAGGAGCAGGGACAUAUGGCCCCAGGUGAAACCUUGGGUGAGUUGGGCCGUCCAUACAAGGCUCAUGAGACAAGUCAUCUCACUUGGGCCUUUCAGGGUCCGGUGAAAUGAGUAUAAUCCCCUCACUUUACAGACCAACAAACUGAGGUUCAAAGAGGCUAAUAAACUGGCCCAACGAUGUACAAUGAGUAAGUAAGUGGUUAUGUCACUUCACAUGUUUAGCCUUUCCCAGUCUCAUCUGUCAAAGGGUCUGUAAGAUUCUCUUCAAAACUCGCACAACCCCACCCCUCUGGGAAGGCACCAGAAAGCCUGAGCCAGCUCUCCUGGGAGGCUGCAGGGCAGUGAGUGUGCCUGCAUCCAGUGGCAGCAGUGCACACAGGGAGCGAGCAGCACCAGGCACUUCUCCCUCCAUGGCAGGGUCUACACGUCCCCCAGUGCACAUCUCAAGCUCAUACGAUACACUCUGCCAAGUCCAUUUUGAAUUCCAUGGCCUGAAUCAUUAACUUUCAAAGCCAAAGCAUUUAAAAGAUAAAAUUAUCCUCUUGGCACUCCUCAAACUGUGCUCUUGACCUCUUCUGUUAGGCUACAGUUUUGUUUCUGGCUGUGCAAAUGUCACAUAAUGCCACUGCACCCGGCAGUAUCUUCUUCAUAGCAACAGAUCAUAAUAAAAGUCCCUCGGAGGCUGUUUGUGUUUCACAUACACAUGGAAUGAAAGAAAAAUGCAGAGUGCUAUAUAAAGCAAGAGAAAUGCAUAAGCUUCAUCUUUCAUUUGCAGCCAAUUGGUUUUAAUAAGCUUUUAUGCUGAGAGGUGAAUAAUUAGCAUACGUUCUUAAUUAAGAUUGUUCUAGAGCAGUAGAGUGCUCCAGGUCGUUAAAAAUGGUUUUGUGUCUCAAUGUCUUAAUUCUCUUAUCUUCUCAUCAGUCAAAAUACUUACAAGAAAUGAGAAUGUUUAGAUUUUUGUAUUUGCAUAAAUAAAUACUAGAAGGAAAAAUAAGGAAUUCAUUAAAACGGUUAUCAGUAUUGACGGUAGAUGCAGGGUAAAGGGGAAGGAAUGGGAGCAGGAUUUCCUUAUGUAUAAUUUUAAUUUUAUUUUGACUUUAGAAACAGGUAAAUGUAUUACCUGCUUCAAACUGAUGGAUGGACAGACAGAAAGAGCAGCAAACCAACAAGCCUCCAGCUCUCAGGCCUCUCACCUCUGGCCUUGCAUUUUCUUAAGUGUGGGUCAGCGUUAUAAGGAAAUCAGACAAAAAUACAGGAGAUGGAGUUUUGCUCUGUCACCCAGGCUGGAGGGCAAUGACACCACCAUAGCUCACUGGAGCCUGGAGCUCCUGGGCUCACAUGAUCCUCCCACCUCAGCCUCCCAGGUAGCUGGGACUACAGCCACACACCACUGUGGUGGGCUCACAGGUGGUGUCAGGACUGAAGUGAACUCACUGUAGGACGCCCAGCUGGUUUCCAAGAAUUGGUCGAUGUGAGAGAAACGCCCCGCUUUGGUGUCAGAAGUGUUGUAUCCAAGGACCAGCCUCCGUAAGACCAGGACCCAAACUUCAGUUUGCAGUGCUGCACAUCAAAGGGAAACCAGCGUACAUCGAUGUAGCAGGAACUCUUGAAUAUGCCUGUGUGGGUGAUGGAAACAGAAGACUGAAACGGAAGCUGACUGAGAUGUGCUGAAAAUACACAGCAGUUCCUUCAGCCGGUUCCGCCCUCCGCACUGCAGCUAACACAGUCCAGAGCAAACGGAAUCUGUCUUUUUAUUUAUUCGCAAAAUCUGUAAAACAGAAUCUCAGCUAAGCUUCACUGUCUUUUAAAAUCCAAACGUAACACUGACAUGCUCUCUCAAAGACUGUUUUGUGGGCUUUUUGUGCAAAAAGUUAGCUCUAUAAUCUGCAUUUACCAUGAGCAUCUUCAGACUCUAAAUAAUAAAAGUAAAGAAUGCAAAAUAUCUCAGAGAAGUUGAUAACCCUGAUGAUGAAGUUAGAAAUAGAAUCUAAAAGGUGUGUGUGUGUGUGUGUGUGUGUCUGUUUGGUGCGGGGUGAGGUAGGCAUUUUCUUUAGGUUAAAAAUGGGAAGAACACAUGAUUAUCGAGAAAUACAAUCUAGAAUUCUGGUUAAAGCUAGAAUUUUAACUAAUUUAAAUUCUAGAUGAAGAACAGAACAAGCUGGGCACAGUGUCUCAUGCCCGUAAUCCCAGUGACUCUAAGACAUUGACGUGGGAGGGUCACUUGAGACUAGGAGUUUGAGACCGGACUGGGCAACAUAGUGAGACAUCUCUAAUAAAAAAAAUUAGCUGGGUGAGGUGAUGCAUGCCUGUAGUCCCAGCUACUCAGAAGGCUAAGGCAGGAGCAUUGCUUGAGCCCAGGAGUUUGAGGCUAAAGUGAAGUGAGCUAUGAUCGAGCCCCUGCACUCCAGCCUGGGGAACACACCUAGAAUCUGUCUGUAAGAAAAAAAGUUAAAACAAACAAACAAACAAACAAAAACAAGAACAGAUAGAUAGGUUUAAGCUGAAGAGAUGGUGCUUGAAGGAAGAGUUUCCGCUGAAAAGAGCUAUUCCAGGCUAGGACAGGUUGGAAGUGGAUUUCCCAGAGGGCCAAGGGGAGGAAACCAGAUAGAGGCCACUCCAGUUAUUUACACUCAUGUGCUCUUCCCUGCCCAGAGGAAGGCUGCAUGGCACAAGAAGACAGGCACAGACUCGGUGUCCAGGUGUUCCUGGGGCAGGGCUGGCACUCUGCAAACUUCUGUUACUGAGUUACAGAAAGAGUGCACGCAGGAAGGGCCUCCACAGCCUUGCACACAAGGACCCCACCCCACAACCGAGUUGGGAAAAGAUACACAUUUUGUCCCCUGAAGUUCCUUUAAGUAUGCUUUGCGUCCUUACAUGAAAUGUUUAUAGGAAUCUGGAAUCAUCACAGACAAUCCCCCUCCAUUAAUAGUUGGAUCCCCCCAAAACCCACCUUGUCUGCCAGUUAGUUGGAAAGCUUUGUAACUUCAUGAGCCCAUUUCUACGAAAUAAUGGCCCGAGACAGAGAAUUUCUAGAGACAGAAAGCAGAUCAGUGGUUGCUGGGAGUAGGAAUGGGAAUUAACUGCAAACAAGCAAAAGGGAUCUUUGUGGGGUGAUGGGAAUGUUCUAAAACUAGACUGUGGUAAUGGUUGCAUAAGUCUGUAAAUAUACUAAAAGUUGUUGAAUCAUGUACUUAAAAUGCAUGAUAUGUAAAUUCUCUCUCAAUAAAGCUGUUAAAAAAUA